AGCAGGCGCGAAANCUUUACAAUNCUGGCAACAGCGAUAAGGGAACNUCGAGUGCCAGGUUACAAAUCUGGCUGUCGAGAUGCCUAAAAAGCAUUUCAUAGCAAGGGCCGGGCAAGACCGGUGCCAGCCGCCGCGGUAACACCGGCGGCUCGAGUGGUAACCGUUAUUAUUGGGUCUAAAGGGUCUGUAGCCGGCCGGAUAAGUCUCUUGAGAAAUCUGGCAGCUUAACUGUCAGGCUUUCAGGAGAUACUGUCUGGCUCCGAGGCCGGGAGAGGUGAGAGGUACUUCAGGGGUAGGGGUGAAAUCUUGUAAUCCUUGAAGGACCACCAGUGGCGAAGGCGUCUCACCAGAACGGACCUGACGGCAAGGGACGAAAGCUAGGGGCACGAACCGGAUUAGAUACCCGGGUAGUCCUAGCCGUAAACGAUACUCGCUAGGUGUCGGCCACGGUGCGACCGUUGUCGGUGCCGUAGGGAAGCCGUGAAGCGAGCCACCUGGGAAGUACGGCCGCAAGGCUGAAACUUAAAGGAAUUGGCGGGGGAGCACCACAACGGGUGGAGCUUGCGGUUUAAUUGGAUUCAACGCCGGA
rnacentral:rRNA from 1 species